AAUGCCAACAUGGCCAGGCCAUCAUGGCACCUCUGUCCACUGUGUAUCCUUGACACUGUACUGAGGAGAGACUCACCAAAGGGUGGCAGCAAGGGAGCUGGAACUUUGGCUCCUAUGAUCCCAUUCCCAGAGUCUCCCCUAUGUUCUCGUGGCUGUGUCCUGUCACAUGGAGAAGAGUGGUGAGGCGGACCCUGGACAUCAGAACAAGAUGAAUAUGAGAAUGUAUUUGCCUCCCGUAGCAGUCUCUGCCUUCCUGGGCUUUCAUCUAUAUGUAGUGUCCGUGCAAGUAACAUGUGACAUUCAGUGAUGAUGGUGACUGAUCACUCGGUGGCUUCUCCCCACCUGCCACAGACGUAUUGAGACAAAGCACAACUUGGUGUUAGAAUCCCACGAUCUCACUCCUCGGCUAAGAAAACGAAGACUUCCUUUGGCCUGUUGGAGUGACUCGGUGAGUGUGUCAUUUCUUUUGGUCACUGAGCUGUAAGCGCACCCUUCUCUGGAUUUGGCAGGUGUCAAGUCACAGAGGACAAAACUGAGUUCAGAUGAAGUGCUUGACUUCUUUUUCAACAGGUGUACUUUAAAAUGCGCAUGUGCUGUGUGCUUGGAAAUUUUCAUAGAGCUUCCUUGUUGCGAUUGGAAGGCAAAGAUGGCCUCCAGGCGACCGACCGGGAGGGCUGUGUUAGCCUCCAGCCUCCGCGGAGGCUCUGGGCUGUGCUCGAAGCCUUUCAGUGGUACAAGCACACACUUUUUGUAGUUAGAGUAAUAUCUGGAUUUCUCCAAUUCCUCUGUUCUCUGACGUCGUUUCGCCUAAUGAGAUGAUCGUAAUGCUUGGGCUGUACAGGAACAAAGCAAAGACUGAUUUUAUGUGGAGUUUUGGGAACACUGAGUUCAGUAAUUAGAACAUUGAGAGAAAAAAAAAAGUCUAGGGAUUGGUUGAAGAUGGAGUUUAGUAAUCACAGUUGAUCUGAUUCUUACAGGUUGGCUUGAGAAGUUUGGGCUUGUUGCUGAUUGGCUGACUUUCAGAAGGGAAAGGAGAUUGCUGAUUGGCUGGAAGCGCAGGGUUGCCGCUGAUUGGCUGGUUGUCCGAAGUGCAGGGUUGCCGCUGAUUGGCUGGUUGUCAGAGCAUUAAGAAAGCAGAAUUUCCGCUGUUGCCUUUAGUGGCUUCAUACAGGUCUUGGCUGUAACAAGUUUCUGCCUUCAGACUCUGGCCAUGAGAUAUUCUUUUCAUUUCUUUAAUCAUGAGUUUAGGAACUUCAAAUUCUCGACUGUGUGAGGAAGUCAGGGAAUAGAACUUGCCAAAGAGUGAAUGUGUUUGCACUCUGUUGGCUUCUCCACUCCCAAGGGUAGUGGGACACACGGGGUUUAUCAAGUGUUUGAUCUUUGUUAGUCUAUUUGAUGAUGGAAUCUUAAGAUGUCCUCGACUCCCAAAAGUGAAGGCAAGAGAACAUGCUCGCUUGUGUGCAUCGUAUGAGUGUGCUUGUGUUCGGUCUUCCUGCCCAUCUGGGUGUUUGUGGAUGUAAUAGCUUGUCAUCAGGCAUCUUUCUCAAUCACCCUUCCAUCUUCAUUCUUGGGGAUAUGGUCUCCCGUUAGACUUAGAGCUCCCAGUUGGCUGGAUUGGCUGCUCAGUGCACCCCAUAAUAUGCCUGUCUCUGCCCCCCAAAUGUUUGGAUUACAGAGGUACCGUGUCUGGCUUUUCUGUUCGUUCUGGAGAUUCAAAGCAGAGUUCUUGUGUCUGUGUAUCAAGGACUUACCAGGGACUCAUCUCCUCCGCCCGGAGCACCGUAAAAAUUAAAUAAAUAGUUUAAAUAUCUGCAUAUUUCUGCUGUCAUCUGACCCUUUUGUUUAGGUUUUUUUACAAUA